rnacentral:misc_RNA from 1 species
AACCAUAGAAACCUGCGGAGUACCUGCGGAAGGAUCAUUACAGAGUUGCAAAACUCCCUAAACCAUUGUGAACGUUACCUAAACCGUUGCUUCGGCGGGCGGCCCGGGUCCUUCCCGGCGCCCAUCGGCCCUCGCGGGCGCCCGCCAGAGGUAAACCAAACUAUUGCAUUGUAUGGCCUCUCUGAGUCUUCUGUACUGAAUAAGUCAAAACUUUCAACAACGGAUCUCAGAUCGGAAGAG